rnacentral:rRNA from 1 species
UUCCAGCUCCAAUAGCGUAUACUAAAGCUGCUGCGGUUAAAAAGCUCGUAGUUGGAUCUCAGUUCCAGACGAGUAGUGCAUCUACCCGAUGCGACGGCUCGGACUGAACAUCAUGCCGGUCUUCUUGGUGCACUUCAUUGUGUGCCUCGAGAUGGCCGGUGCUUUUACUUUGAAAAAAUUAGAGUGCUCAACGCAGGCGAGUCGCCUGAAUAUUCCUUGCAUGGAAUAAUAGAACAAGACCUCGUUUCUGUUCUGUUGGUUUUUGG